GGCUCUGCAGAGGCAGAAGAUGAACAGUAAGAUGCAAAGAUCUGGCAACCUUCAGAGCUGGGUCCCUGGGGCCUCUGCAGAACCACCCAGAAGCCCCAAAUUGUGACAUCACCAGUUCAACAGCCUUCCCCACUCCCAUCACUUCCUGAAACAGCCAGAGCGAGAAGAUGAUGCAUAUGUUCUCACAGAGCUACACAUGCCACAGUCAUCACUAGUUGCGAGAGUCUCCAGUGUUCAUUAAGCCUAUUUUGCUGGAAGUUUAGUCCCUGGAGGAUUAGUCCCUGCCCUUAAGGAGUGCCAAAGAAGACUUUGGAAUCUAAGUCACAUCUCCCCUGCUGCAAUUUUUUCCUCUUGAUAAUCAAGGAAUCUCACUGAUAAAACUCUCAAUGAGGAGCAGCUCUCCCCAUGAGCAAGUUCUUGCCUUCAUUGCCAGGGAGGCCCCAGCUAAGGUUAUACUGGGAAAGGAAUCUCUGGGGAGUACCUGGAAGAGGUCAGCUUCUCCUCAAAGGAAGCCUCUCCAGCUGGUGUACUGCAAAGCCUUCCAAGACCAAGUUCCCUCUUCCUGGCCUCUGGAACCAGCCUGUGUGCCAGCGCUGUGUCCCCAGUAACACACAUGAGUCUCUCCCUCAGAAGCCACAGAAGGAUGCAGAGAGAGACCAACCCAGGAUUGAUUCUCAGCACUUACUAAUUGUGUGGACAUAACUGCUCUGGACCUCAGCUUUGCUAUCUAUAAAAUGAGCACCCUUUUUAUAGAUAUGAACACUUUAAGAGAGUCAUAAAGAUUGAAGUUGAUUUGUGCUGCGCCUGGCACAGAGGUCUCCCUCAGUAAAUGGCAGCCACUGCUAUUGGGGUGCCCCAACACCCCUUGCCCCUGCCCACCAUUAGCUUUCACUUAGGCCCACACUGAGGGUGUGGCUGUUGUGUUGGGGGAAGGAAAAAAACCAUGCCUGGGUUGCAGGGCCCCCACCACCAACUGGUCUGCUUUUGUGGGAAGCAUUUUCUGAUGCCCUCGCCCUACCCGUGGGCUGGUUGACUAAGUGUCCAGCAUCAUGAGGAAAAGAGCAGGGUUCAGGGACAGCUUGGCUCAGCCCUGAAACUCAUCUGGGCCUAGGUCCAGAUGAGAGGCAAGCCUGGGAGGCCUUCCGUUGUACCCUUGCCUAUCCUGCAGCACCCUCUAGCCUGCAGGCCGCUCCUGGGUGGCAUAGCACCUUGGAUGUCAGGUGUGGGCCUUCCCAGGCACAUGGCAUGAGGGGGCACUUCUGUGGGUUGUUGGGGGCAGGAAGGGAUGUGUCUCCAGCUGGACUUGGGCUCUCGCAUUUUGGGGCCCAGCCAUGCCAGGACAGCACACAUGGGCGCUUAGUGCGAAUCUCAUGAUGGAGCAGAGGAGGAGCAAAGCAAAACCAGGGAGUCCCCAGGCCCCUGCUUCUGCCCCGCCCAGAGACAGUGGAGCAGGUGUCUCCAGCUUCUUAACCUCAACGCACAGUAAGAAAUACAUUUUACAGCAACCAAUAGACACAUACAUUUACAAAACGAUACUCUGUAAUGCACUGGGCUGGUUUUCUCUCCUCACGCCCCUCUAGUGAGUCACAGAUGAGUCCCGCUAUAAGUAAUGUAAGCAAGCCACAGUCCCUGGCUGGCAAGUGAGGGAGUGCCCCACCAGGACAGGGACACUGAGGCAGCAAUGAAAACAGCCAAUGCAACCACUCCUUCCUUUUUCCCCCGCUCAGACCCUCAUGGGUGAGGAGAGAAGCUGCCAAGCCGAGGACUCCAUGAGAAAGAUGCCGGAGCUGCCCCACUCCGCAGCAGGCGCUUCCCCUGGAUUCUCACUAUCCUCACGACAGCCAUGAGCACCAGCAAUUAUCUGUUCCAUUUUGGAGAGGAGGCAAUGCAGGUUCAGAGGCUUUAAAAAGAUUUACUAUGUGCUUGCUGUGUGCCGGCAACGUUUAUAUGGUUUAUAUAAUGCUGAAUGGUUUAUAUAAUGCUCAGCGCUUACCUAUUCCCCAGAGCAGCCCUAGGGAGCAGGUACCGCUGCAUCUGCAUUGGCAGAGGAGACCGCGGCUCCCCCAACCCCCGGCUCAAGGUCUCACAGCUAGUUGCAGGCCUGCAUCUCUCAACCCAGA
rnacentral:lncRNA from 1 species